UACGGGGGGGGCAAGCGUUGUUCGGAAUUACUGGGCGUAAAGGGUUCGUAGGUGGCCAACUAAGUCAUACGUGAAAUCCCUCAGCUUAACUGGGGAACUGCGUCUGAUACUGGUUGGCUUGAGUGCAGGAGAGGAACGCGGAAUUCCAGGUGUAGCGGUGAAAUGCGUAGAUAUCUGGAGGAACCCCGUGGCGAAGGCGGCGUUCUGGACUGCAACUGACACUGAGGAACGAAAGCCAGGGGAGCAAACGGG
rnacentral:rRNA from 1 species